GAUGAACGCUGGCGGCGUGCCUAAUACAUGCAAGUCGAGCGAACGGACGAGAAGCUUGCUUCUCUGAUGUUAGCGGCGGACGGGUGAGUAACACGUGGAUAACCUACCUAUAAGACUGGGAUAACUUCGGGAAACCGGUGCUAAUACCGGAUGAUAUUUUGAACCGCAUGGUUCAAGAGUGAAAGACGGUCUUGCUGUCCCUUAUAGAUGGAUCCGCGCUGCAUUAGCUAGUUGGUAAGGUAACGGCUUACCAAGGCAACGAUGCAUAGCCGACCUGAUAGGGUGAUCGGCCACACUGGAACUGGGACACGGUCCAGACUCCUACGGGAGGCAGCAGUAGGGAAUCUUCCGCAAUGGGCGAAAGCCUGACGGGGCAACGCCGCGUGAGUGAUAAAGGUCUUCGGAUCGUAAAACUCUGUUAUUAGGGAAGAACAUAUGUGUAAGUAACUGUGCACAUCUUGACGGUACCUAAUCAGAAAGCCACGGCUAACUACGUG
rnacentral:rRNA from 1 species